CAAGCACAGAGUUCCUGUUGUUGUAUUUGCUGGGCGGGGAAUGAUUAUCAAAUGAAACUUCCUGCCCAGCAGUGAGCAUGAAGUUCUAGGGUGUUUGGUGAAAAGUAGAAAGAAUUCUUCAACUCUCUUAAUUGAAGGCAAAUAUAAAGCCACUGUCAUUCCUCCUGUCUGUGUAUCUACUGUUGUAACUCAUGUGAGAGGAAUAAACCAGCGCUCCCUAUUUCUUUAGUUAUUUAUUUAUUUGCUGUGGAUCAGAAAGGGCCAACCUGCUUGAGAUCUUCUGAGAGACCCCCGUCUCUUCAAAAUGCCAAGAGAAGGAGAUUAGACACGUAAGAAACUGGCAUAGAAAUAAGCUGCUCUCCAAGUCAAGCAGCUUUCCUGCCCACAGAGGAGCUUUCCAGUGCAAUUGCUUUCAGAACAUGGAACAUACUUGCUGAGUGACCGAGCAGUGACAGCCAGAGAUUAAUGUGCCCUGCUCUGCACGAGGUUGUGGAGGAUUUUGGGAAAAAAACCUUUGUGCUUCCAGGAAUACAUGAUUUGAAAGCAAUAAUGUGCCUGAUUUGUCAAGAAUAACUAGUUGUGUUUUCUUACUGAAUUGCUUAUGGGAGACAGAUUUUCUUAUAACUGGAAUUUCAGUGCCAUGGCAGAUCAAUGUAUCCAAUUAAAAAGCUUUAAUCAGAAGAACACAGUAUCUUUGUUUAACAUGUAAAACUGAAGUAAGCCAAUUUUUUGUUGUUGUUAUUAUCUAGCAAUGGUGAUGCACAGAAGUACAAAGGGAAGAAGCUUGAGGUGAGGUGUGAUCUCACAAAAUGUUGCAAUUGCAUUCACGAGCAAACAGCAGAGGAGGACAGUGAGACAGUUAAAAGCAGAAGAAUGAACAACCAUCAGCUACUCUGUUCAGCAGCUGCUGUUUCUAAGGAAGCUGAUUAGAAACUGACAUGUGAUUUCUUAUUUAAAACUGUGAUUAGUUUGCUUCCUGCUCCGUUGUUGACUGGAUGGAAAAUAUGCCAGACUUUUCCUUCAGAUUGGGAGAGACACUGUUCAGAUGAUGAACUUCUUGAUACAAAGAGGAAACUGGAUUUCAAUUUGAAAGGUGGCUUUUCUCUCCAAGAUGCCUUAAAACAAACAAACAAACAAACAACAACAACAACAACAAACUGGACUGCAUAAAAGUAGAGUUGAUGAGUUACUUCACAUAUGGG
ensembl:lncRNA